rnacentral:misc_RNA from 1 species
CGGGGUUGGAGUUGAGGAGGAUGACCUCGUAGCCCUCGUCGCGGAGGGCCUUGCAGGCCUGGGUGCCACUGUAGUCGAACUCGCAUGCCUGACCGAUCACGAUGGGGCCGGCGCCGAGGAUCAUGAUCUUCUUGAUGUCGGUGCGAGGACCGCCGCGGCUGCGGCUGCCUUCGGCGGCGGCGACGGCUGGCGGUGGAUCGGAUUUGAGGCAGCGAAGGGAGCUGGGGCGGUGGCGGAGGGAGCGCAGGAGCGGCGGGGGGAGGCGGAAAAGGCGGAGGUGACACGAUGUGGGGAGGAGGGAGAGGCAGCGGAGGGCGGUGGACGGCGGCGCUGGGCGGAGGAGGGAGGAGGAGCUGAGAG